GAUGAACGCUGGCGGCGUGCCUAAUACAUGCAAGUCGAGCGAAUGGAUUAAGAGCUUGCUCUUAUGAAGUUAGCGGCGGACGGGUGAGUAACACGUGGGUAACCUGCCCAUAAGACUGGGAUAACUCCGGGAAACCGGGGCUAAUACCGGAUAACAUUUUGAACCGCAUGGUUCGAAAUUGAAAGGCGGCUUCGGCUGUCACUUCUGGAUGGACCCGCGUCGCAUUAGCUAGUUGGUGAGGUAACGGCUCACCAAGGCAACGAUGCGUAGCCGACCUGAGAGGGUGAUCGGCCACACUGGGACUGAGACACGGCCCAGACUCCUACGGGAGGCAGCAGUAGGGAAUCUUCCGCAAUGGACGAAAGUCUGACGGAGCAACGCCGCGUGAGUGAUGAAGGCUUUCGGGUCGUAAAACUCUGUUGUUAAGGAAGAACAAGUGCUAGUUGAAUAAGCUGGCACCUUGACGGUACCUAACCAGAAAGCCACGGCUAACUUCGUGCCAGCAGCCGCCGUAA
rnacentral:rRNA from 1 species